CAGGCAUGCUGGAGCCCCGCCAGCGGCGCCUUGGUCCGAACUGACCUGACACCCGACGGGGCAGAA
rfam:Mesorhizobium metallidurans STM 2683, WGS project CATM01000000 data, contig: ANX_1634_Contig_127